CUUCCUUCCUGACUUGAGAUUAGUCACUGCUUUGGCCAAUGAAACGCGAGUGGAAGCGAUGUGUGCUGAGCUUUAGGAGCCUGCUCUGGCUGUGCCACGCUUGCUUUUUCCUCUACCACCGUGACCGCUGCGUUCCAGGUUCCGAAUUCACAAUGUCUGUAUUCUUGUUCUCAACCAUGAUUCGUAACUACUUCAGCCCCAUGUGAACUGAAGCCACCCAAGACUAGCUCCUGGACCGUGGUCUCCAUUUGGAAUGCAUACCAGGGCAAGGUUUCAGUAGAAGAGGGGAAAAGAGGUAGUACACGAGAAGACAAAAGGAAGCAAAAUUCACACUACAUUUUACAUGUAGACAGAGAUUUGGCAGGAUGAACAGAAGAAUGGAAGUUUCUUCAAGCAAGAGCCAAGCCUUCACAAUCUCCAACAGCAACCCAAACGGUUUCAAGACUGUGUGGGCAGAACAGAAGCCUGUGGGAUGGCAAUGGGUCAGAGCUGCUUAACGAACAGCGUGAAGAUGACCAAAGUUGAAAUAGGAGCCAAAAGUAAAGAUAAAAGGAGAAGUAGCAGCAUAUUGAGACUAGCUCUUCCUCUUAUCAAAGCCUACCUAAGAAAUCAUCUGCAUGGAAGAAAUCUGAGAAGACUUUCUAAGAAAAGCAUUUACCUAGUGUUUACAUAUUAUCACCUCAAAAUACAUACAGCUUGUAUGUUAAUUGGCCAGGACCUGGAUAGUAGAAAAGAAUUGGGAAAACCACUCAAGAAAGGAGAAAACACAGAGGUAGGAUACAUUAACAUAUGUUCUACAAGGCCACGAUAUUACUCUAGAAUCACUUAAAUAUAUUGCUGAGCAUUUCUCUUGGAUUCCAGGUAAGCAAAUGUGACUGUAAUUCAUCUGUGUCUUUAUAAAUGAGUUAGAGGCACCACAAUGUAAUAAAGAGCAGGAAUUGACAUUAGAUUCAAAUCUGAUCCGACACUGGUUGUUAGCCCUAUCUACGUCUAUGGGAGGAGCUUCUCAAGAUCCCUUAGCCUCAGCCUACUCACCUGUAAAAUAUCUCCCUCACAGUGUUGUUUUAAAGAAUAGUGUUCAUGUAUGUAAAUACCCACUACAGUGAAUGGAAAUAAUAGGAAUUCAAUAAGUAAUAGUGGCAAGAAGAGAAUAAUCAUGGCAAUCAUAUUUGUAGUUGCUAUUGUUAGUUAUUGUUAUUGGCACAUACCAACAGAGAAUUUGUUAGCCUAUAUUCCAUAUCAAAAGCUCUCACUCUAGGGGUGCCUGGGUGGCUCAGUUGGUUAAGUGUCCAACUCUUGAUUUCGGCUCAGCUCAUGAUCUUGGGGCUAUAGGAUCAGUCAGGCUCCAUACUCAACACAGAGUCUGCUUGAGAUUCUUUCCCCCUUUCCUUUCUCUUCUGCCCCUCCCCUGCUUUCUCCU